AUUGAACGCUGGCGGCAUGCUUUACACAUGCAAGUCGAACGGCAGCGCGGGCUUCGGCCUGGCGGCGAGUGGCGAACGGGUGAGUAAUGCAUCGGAACGUGCCCAGUAGUGGGGGAUAGCCCGGCGAAAGCCGGAUUAAUACCGCAUACGACCUGAGGGUGAAAGCGGGGGACCGAAAGGCCUCGCGCUAUUGGAGCGGCCGAUGUCGGAUUAGCUAGUUGGUGGGGUAAAGGCUUACCAAGGCGACGAUCCGUAGCUGGUCUGAGAGGACGACCAGCCACACUGGGACUGAGACACGGCCCAGACUCCUACGGGAGGCAGCAGUGGGGAAUUUUGGACAAUGGGGGCAAACCUGGUCCAGCCAUGCCGCGUGCGAGAAGAAGGCCUUCGGGUUGUAAACCGCUUUUGUUCGGGAAGAAAUCCUCUGGGCUAAUACCCCGGGGGGAUGACGGUACCGGAAGAAUAAGCACCGGCUAACUACGUG
rnacentral:rRNA from 1 species